GACAGAGGUGCCGAGCGUUAGGCGGAAUCACUGGGCUUAAAGCGUGUGUAGGCGGACUUCUAAGUACCUUGUGAAAUCCCAACGGCUCAACCGUGGAACUGCCAUUGAUACUAUCUGUCUUGAAUAUCGUGGAGGUAAGCGGAAUAUGUCAUGUAGCGGUGAAAUGCUUAGAUAUGACAUAGAACACCUAUUGCGAAGGCAGCUUACUACGCAUAUAUUGACGCUGAGGCACGAAAGCGUGGGGAUCAAACAGG
rnacentral:rRNA from 1 species